AUGUAUGCUUAUACAUUAGCACGUGUUUCUAAUCUUUGGAAUUCAUUUGGAAAGUGUUUUUCUCAGCUGAGCCCUCGCUGUGUUCUGGCUCCCCGUGUUGGCUGCUGUGAAGGGAGGGAUGGGUGUCUGGAUCCCGGGGCUCGGGGCAGUGCAGCAGCUGUGCCCGGGCUGCUGGGGGGGUUUGGGAAGGCCGGGUGCCCACGGCCGGACCGGCUGAUGAGAAGAGCUGAAGUGUGGAAGUCAUUAACUCCACCCGCAUGCAGAAAUCGUCCCGUGCUCCCCCCAAAGGCUUCCCCGCAGGACGGAGCGAGGUCCUGGCUGCUCCCUCCUGUCCCCUCUGUCACCCCCGCUCGCAUCCGCGGGGUCUGGAGCGGAGCCGCCACCCAUCCGUGUCCCGGGGACAUCAGGGAGCCCUCGGAAAGGGGGACAUUGUACCCGGGCUGGGGAGCGACAGCCCCGUGUCCCCACACCUGGCAGCUCACCGGUGCCGUGGGACCGGAGCCGCAGAGGUGCGGAGAGAAGCUUUGGUGGGAGUGAACUGUGACAGCUUUUGGCUGGUGAGGUAAUUGAGGGGAACCGAGUGUUUAGGGCAGUAUGACAAAAGGGGUCCAGGAUUUGAGGUCCCUCAUGCACACAGAAUUGGAAAGCAUGAGGCUGAGAAGGUGUCUAAUACAAAUGGAAUAUAUUGUUUGAUUCAUAACUUGAAGUAAUACCUCUGCCUAGGGUUUUGGUGGAUUUGCUUCUCUACUCAACACUUUUUUUUCCCCCCUCUAUUUGUUUGCUGGCAUUAGCUUCCUGGGAAGAUGGUUGCCAGAGAGCCUGCUGCAUUUCCAGGUGGUUCCUCUUUUUCUUGCUUUCUCCAUUUCACCUUUCCAUUCUUCCUUUCUCUUCCCCUUGUCUUGUAAUGCACAACCUUCUUUCAAACACCCCAUCUCACUUGUGCUUCUCUUGCUUUCUCUGUGAUUGCAUCUUCUAUACAGAGGGUUUUUUCCUCCCCUCUGGCUGUGCUUUAUCUUACCUUUCUUAGCAUAUUUCUGCCCUUUUCUUUUGCUUUCCUCAUUCUCUAGAUUUUUUUUCUUCUUCUUCAAACUUUCUUCUCCUGUUUCAGGGAAUUUUAUUUUCCAUUUUCUUCCUCAUAUCUCUCAGGUUUGCCAUCCUCCCUUGCAGUGUCUGCUCCUUGUUUAUCAGCCCUUUCCUUCAGUCCGUUCUGUCUUCUGCUGGGUGUCUCAACAGGCAAUAAACUCAAGUCCCAUGGCCA
rnacentral:lncRNA from 1 species